rnacentral:rRNA from 1 species
AUUGAACGCUGGCGGCAGGCCUAACACAUGCAAGUCGAACGAGUGGCGGACGGGUGAGUAAUGUCUUGGAAACUGCCUGAUGGAGGGGGAUAACUACUGGAAACGUUAGCUAAUACCGCAUACCAUCAGAUGUGCCCAGAUGGGAUUAGCUAGUUGGUGGGGUAACGGCUCACAAAGGCGACGAUCCCUAGCUGGUCUGAGAGGAUGACCAGCCACACUGGAACUGAGACACGGUCCAGACUCCUACGGGAGGAAGCAGUGGGGAAUAUUGCACAAUGGGCGAAAGCCUGAUCGAGCAAUGCCGCGUGAAUGAAGAAGGCCUUCGGAUUGUAAAGUACUUUCGGCGGGGAGGCGUUACCCGCAGAAAAAGCACCGGCGAACUCCGUGCCAGCAGCCGCGGUAAUAC